rnacentral:rRNA from 1 species
CCUACGGGAGGCAGCAGUGGGGAAUAUUGCACAAUGGGCGCAAGCCUGAUGCAGCCAUGCCGCGUGUAUGAAGAAGGCCUUCGGGUUGUAAAGUACUUUCAGCGGGGAGGAAGGCGACAAGGUUAAUAACCUUGUCGAUUGACGUUACCCGCAGAAGAAGCACCGGCUAACUCCGUGCCAGCAGCCGCGGUAAU